GCUCCUUUUGAGCCACAGACUCAAAAUAUCGAGCUACAGCAGCUGUAAAUAUAAAUAAAUUUGAAUUAACACUCUAAGUUAAGUACACAUGUACUAACAUAAACUUACAAAUUCUAUGAAUUUAGUGCGUGUACUUAUUCUUUGGCCAUUUAAUGACUGAACGAAAAAAGCUCAUUUCCUGAUUUUUUUUUUCUUUAAAUCUUAAAACAAAAGUCAUUAUAAAUGUUUGUCAUCGCUAAUUUCAAAUGGGGCAAUUUGCCGCAAAUGUGACUUUCCAUAAUUUAAGUAACUAUAUUAUUGAAACAAGUUUAAUAAAUUUUCAAGGUUAUAUGGAAAAACAAAAUUGUGUCUACAGACAGACAAGAUGAUUCAAAUAUACCUCCAUAAACUUCGUUUUUGGAAACUGAAAGGCCUAAAUCUUGCUGAAACUAAUGUCAGAUAAGCAGCAAAUACGGUGGAUUCAUUAGAAUUUGUGGUGGCUCAAUUUUCAUGGUAUUCGUGGGUAGCACGAAAGGCAGACUGCAGUACUAGAAGCUAGAGCACAUUCUAGAGUUUGUCCUUCAACACCAAAUAUACCAGACGUAUGAGAAUUUUUCCUGUGAUGGUGACAAAUUUGCCAAAAAAAUCUCCUCAGAAAGAGGGGUGUUCAAGAUUUUGGCACCAAGACAGUCAUUGCCAGAAGAUUACCUUGAAGAUUUAAGCAUGUGUCCAGAAGAUGAGUUUACACUUUCUUAUCCAUUGUUCUAGUACAUUCUUUUACAUUGGUGAGAAACUUUGUAUUAAUUGUAAUUUCAUGUCAUGUAUUUUGGAAUUUUUAUUUUAAUUAUCACAUGUUUAUUUUAAUUUAGGAGAUGAAAAUCGAUGCAGCUUAAGAGAAAUUUGCCUCUGGGACAUUUAGAGACAUGGACAAUAUUCAAUUAAAUGGAAUUGUCAUCAAUGGAAAACAAUUCUCAGUUAAGUGAUACAAAGAACUAAUGGCAGAAAAUCUGGAACCUGUCCAAAGCAAUGUUAGGACCCUGAUAGGAAAAGGUGGUGAGGAACCACUUAGGAAAGACCCCCGUCCGAAAUAAGAGAUGAAAGAAAUAAAAUACUUGUCAACCCGUGGCAUUCCAUCUUACAAAGAAUUUCAAAAAGUUCGGCAGGAAAAGGAUGCAAACGGAGGCAAACAUUCGUUGCAAAAUGAAAGAAACUAUCGAGAAUAAAAGUACGUUAAAUGUCUUUUUUUCCUACAUUUUCUUAUGCAUAUAUUUAUAUAUUUAUCUUAUUGUUCACAUAAUGAUUUGUAAUUAUAUUAUCAAUGCAACAUCUUUUAAUUAAUUACAUAAAUGUUGGAGUGAUUUUGUAUGAUCUGCAUGAGACAAAAUACGUCAGAGGAAGUCUUCUGCCUGUUGAAAUCUUCCCUUCAAGUACUGACAGGAAUGUUUUAGGGAUGUCAUCCAAAAACAUCAGAUGAACGAUAAAUCGCUUCCACUCUAUGAGUAUGUUCUUCUGUACAAGGAUGGGUCAAGGGCAAAGAUGCUUCCAGGGACCACGAAUAUUUUUUUCAGUUCGAGGAUACAAGGAACUCCUCGGUAAACCAUUCAAUUCUUUGCAAUUAUUCGUAUGUUCGAAGGACAAAUAUGAUUCAAGAAACGCUGGGUACACCAAAACGUUUUCAAAGAAAGAAACCACCUAACAAUACAGAGACUAUGAAGCCUAUGUGUACCACUUCAACGACAACAGAGAGGAAUCUAAUGUGUUAAAUAUCCGGAUAGUCCCCCAUUGAUUUUUUACACAAUAGCCCAAAUGUUAACCCCUUGUUCCUCCCUACCCCCUUAUCCGGUUAAUGCCCCAUUGUUUAUGAUAAUUAUUGUUAUAUGAUUAUUUUAUGGUGUUUGUGAUUGCGCAAGAACUGUACAGGCAGUUGAUGGAAUUACCUAUUACCUAUACUUGUGAUCAGACGUCGAAAAAAUUAAAUAAAACGGGAUAAGUACACACAAACUGCGUUCGUUUCUUGCUAAGAAACUUUUCUAUUUAUACGUC